rnacentral:misc_RNA from 1 species
GAUGAAGAACGCAGCGAAAUGCGAUAAGUAAUGUGAAUUGCAGAAUUCAGUGAAUCAUCGAAUCUUUGAACGCACAUUGCGCCCGCCAGUAUUCUGGCGGGCAUGCCUGCCCGAGCGUCAUUUCAACCCUCGAACCCCUCCGGGGGGUCGGCGUUGGGGAUCGGGAACCCCUAAGACGGGAUCCCGGCCCCGAAAUACAGUGGCGGUCUCGCCGCAGCCUCUCCUGCGCAGUAGUUUGCACAACUCGCACCGGGAGCGCGGCGCGUCCACGUCCGUAAAACACCCAACUUCUGAAAUGUUGACCUCGGAUCAGGUAGGAAUACCCGCUGAACUUAAGCAUAUCAAUAAGCGGAGGA